AUCUUGUCAAGAGCUUGGUGUUAGUGUGGAGGGAGUCGAAAUAGCUCGAUUCACUUUGAAUCCACUCUUGAUUAAAUUAAGCUCCUCAACCCAACAGCCUUCUCGAUCCUGGUCCCCUUCCUUACUUUUUUCUUGCUGGUGCCAUGCGGCGUUUCCAGGGCAUUGCCGGCCAAACUCACUGCUCCAGCCCUACGUGAGAAUAGCACAAGCCACCGAGACCCGAAAAAAUAUGGGUUUUGCCCCGAUUCACUUUUCUUGCCAGCAGUUGGAGUUGGAGGGGAACUGGCACUCUCGACGACACAGAAUUUGCCCACAGUCCAUAGAUCUUUCGACAGAGAGUCCCUGGAUCCUCCGCGGACACUUCUCCUUUGGGGUGGAUCCGACCUGAAGGGCUGGGAGGCUUGUCCCUGGAGUUUACUCGACCUAUAUGAGCACCAACUAAGUCAACUAACUACUGAGAUGGGAUGAUGUAACCAGCGAGGGUCUCCAACGAGUCCAACACGCCCUCUCCUACAGCGUAAUACCGAAGGUCAAUAACUACUAGUAGUGACCGUCCUUGGGGGGAAUUCAUGCAGCGGCCAAACUCAAACCAGGAACUGGUUUUGGAAG
rnacentral:sRNA from 1 species